rnacentral:lncRNA from 1 species
AAUUAGAUUAUUAAUUAUUAUGGUUAAGAAUUAAUUAGAAACUAAUUGGAAAUAUAUUUUGGAAAUAUAUUAUGGGAAUUAAUUAACAGUUUAAUUAAUUAAAGGGUUGAAUGUUCAUUAAUCGAUAGUUGGUUAAUCAGGAAUGUUCCAGAACCCUUAUGGAAUUAGGGUUGGAUGAAAAUCACUCCAUCCCACAUGGGAAAGAAGUGAAAUUUCGUGGUUAGGCCUCCAUCCCACAUGGGAAGGAGUACUAAACCUAAGCAGGCAUCCAAGGCUAUAAAUAGGGCCUUAGGGAUUCCAUUCCUCCUUGCACCUUGGCUUAAGUAUUCGCCAACCCUUCUUCCUCCCCCUCUUAGGGACGAUUUCUAACCCCUUUGGGUUUGUGAAAUUGACCCUUCUCCUAGUUAUUUUUAUUCCACUCUUUGGUGUCAUUGGGUGUGAUACCAUUAGAGGGAUUCUGGUUUGGGUCCUUUCAUCCAAGCAACUUCAUGGAGGUUCAAGAUAUCAAGCAUGGAGAUCAAGGGAAUCAUAAGAGGUAUGUUUUCUUACUUAUGUCUUAGUUUUCUAGGGUUUAUAUAAUUAGCAUGAAGCCAUAGAUCCAUAGGAUUCAUGUACACUUAGGUAUAUCGUAGUUUCGAUUUUUCCGCUGCCUAGUUUAGAGUGCAUUUGAUGCGUAGAAAACUCAACAGUGGUAUCAGAGCCAUUGGUUCAUGGUUACUUUCACCCUAGAUCCAUGUUUUCUGUAAAAACUUGUUUGAAAUUGAAUGGUAGAAUGAUUAUUGAAAAAUUCGUAAUGGUUAAAACCCUACUUGCAGCUCACGACGUGAGAGCUAUGAGCUCACGACGUGAGCUCGGCAGAAUUAGGGUUUUCAGAUUUUUGCCAUUUUUCAAAUAUGAAGGCUUAUUAAAUAUGGAUAAAUACCUAAUUUAAAUUGUUUAAAUCUGGAAAAUAGUGGAUAAAUAUUAUUUAAAUGUGUUUAUUUAAAUUUGAAUAUUUAUUUGAUGAUUGAUAUAUAUUAUUUAAGUGUGUUUAUUUAAAUUUGAAUAUUUAUGGAUAAAUAUUAUUUAAUCUUAUUUUAAAUUUGAAUAUUUAUUAUUUAAAUAAUGAUUUCAAAUAUUUUAAUAUUAUUCAUAAUAGAGUUUUAUAAAUUUGAAUAUUAAUCCCCUCAUGAUUUAUUAAUUGUUACAUUGCGUCCUCGCAGUUAAUUAGAAUUAAUAAUAGACAACUAAAUUUAAAGAGUUUUAAAUUUACCCCUUAUAUUUAUAUAUAUUAGAAUUGUGUCUAUUAUAUGUAUAAAAAAGUUACAACAUGCGCCCUCGCGUGUUUAAAUAUUGACAUUGUCAGUCUUACAUCGACUAGGCUCACCCGUUCUAAUGUAGGGGUUUAAGGAGGUCUCUUUGAUUCCUAAUGAGGUCGGUUUUUAAUAUGCUUCGCGUUUACCACCCUCACCGCCCAAUUGCAUUUUGUGAAUGGAGUUACCGAAAGGGUUUGAUAGUGAUAAUGGUCAAUCUAAAAGUAUUUUAAAUACAAGUAUAAAACAAAAUCCCGUUUUAAUAAUAGAAUGUGAGUUUAUAUUAUCCAUGAAAAUUGCACAUUCUCUUUAUAUUCUGUUGGUGGAGCUCGUGUGGUUAACCGACACAUCAAUCUAGGGUAUAGUUGAGAAUGAUAUGGAACUCGCGAAUCUCAAGUGUAACUUGAGUCGGGGGCCAUGCGAUUUUCCAAGGUUAAUUCUCAAUCUAUUUAAUGUGAAUCUUAUGUUAUCCAUAAAAGUUGCACAUUCUCUUUAUAACUUGUUGAUGGAGCUCGCGUGGUUAACCGACACGUCAAUUAGAGAGUAUAAGUAAAGAAUGAUGUGGAACUCGUGAAUCUCAAGCGUAACUUGAGUCGGGGACCAUGCAGUUUUGUAUGGUCGAUUCACCAUCUGUUUAAUGAUCUGCGGCGACCCCGUCAUUGAAUUUGAGAUGAACAUAAUUCGAGAUUAACAUGCCAUUGAUAGUCAAUGAAUCUCAAAGAACUAGGAAUUUCAUGGUGAUCGAAAUUGGCAAAGGGCUUUGCUCACCUAAAUAACUUUAUGGUGUGUUUACGGCAUCCCUUUACACAUCAUGGAGCCAAAUAUGGAUCCUAGCCUUUUAAAAUAAUUUUUUUAGGGUGAUUAUUUUCUAAGGAUAAGUAAAACAAACUAUAAUGGAAUUUGUUAUUGAAUGAUGUCUAUAACCUUAUACACUAAACUCUACUGCUAUAAAACCUUUGAAAGGAUUAGCUAUGAGGAUGAUCAAUCUUGUCAAAUUCAUAGUUUGGGAGUAGUUCUCAUAAACGAAAGGAAAGAUCAUGUCUUUGUUAAAGCUAUUCCUUGGUUACUUCAAACAUUGCAUUCUAAAGUGUUAGAAAGAGAAAUUGUAAAAUGUACAUUGUAAAAUGACAUAUUGAAGUAAAAUGGAAUUUCCUUGAGUUAGGAGUUGACUAUGGUUAGUCGACUAGUUAACAUGUACAUAUGAUUAGUUCAUUCUGAUUUUGGUAUGAACAACUUGGAAUGUCCAUUAAGGAGUUUAGUAGCAUGUUGAGGUUUCCUUUUGGAAUUAACAUGGCAGUCAUAGAAACUCAAACUUCAAACACUCCCAUAAAUUUACUAUCAUGAAUAGAAGUGUCAAGAAGAACGCCAAUUGCCCAUGGUUUAACAGGCGAUUAGUGUUGGCAUACCUAAUCUAGGCCCAAAUACCUAGGACAAAGAAAGAAUUAUUAUAAGACAUGUUCUGAUAGCUGCUCGUUUCCAUAACAAGAAAAGGACUAAGAAAGCAAACUUGCCCAAAUGUAUAUUUGAGGUGAAAGAACCGAAACAUGAAGAAGUUAGAUUUGAUCAUGGAUCACGAGCCCGUGCUACUUUCCAUUGGAUCAAAAGAUAACUUGUUCUUCAAUGUUUGGUAUUCAAUCAAAUAUAUGGAUUUAUAAUGCCAUCAAAACAUUACUUCUAAACCUUGAGUAUUUUACUAAGGAUUAGUACAGACAUUUGCAAGAAUGUGCAGUUACUAAAAUGAGGUAAGAAGACUAAACCAUGGAGAAGAUAAUUCGAUCAUGAAUGCCAAUCCCUUGCUACAUUCAUAUGAUAAAAGGACAUCUCUUUUCAAAAUGUGUAGUCUAUGGUGUUAUAAUUUGAAAUUGUUUAUGCUAUGAAACUAGUAUAGUAACAAUAGUUCAAACUUGAUUCAAAUAUUUGAAUAAGGUGUAUUAUUGUGAAUGGAUCGUACAGAUUAAUCACAAUAUGUACUUAUUUAAAUACAUCCAAAUGUUUGGGUGAAAUGUAUUUGUGGAAUCAUAGUCUUGGAUACAUAAAUGAGAAAUGCAUUAUCAAAUAUCCAGUUGGAUCGGAUUUUGGAUAUCAUUUGGCCUUGAGUCUUAUGAUAAAUGCAAAUCUUGUUUAUCAAGAUAGAUGAUGAAUGCAUCACUAGGUGAUGUGAGCAUCUAUUGGAAUUAGUUCACUCUAAUAGACCGUUCAGAUUAACCACGAUACAUGGUGAGACCAACUUCGUAUGAAUGUGAGUCUGGAACCUUUUAGGUGUUCAGAGCUCUCAUAAAGAGAAGUUGAGAAACAAUUGGGCAAUAGGAUGAGACACUCAUAGUGAGAACCUCAGUCCAAACUUUAUCGAUCAUAUAAGUAGUUGUGAAAGAGUUUCAAGAUUUAUCUCCACCCAGAACACUACCACUAGGAAGUGUUAGUUGGAUAGAGAAACAAAUCGUUCAUUGAGUUUGUAUUAGAUGAGUCGCAUUAUGCACACUAACAAUUCGUCGAUUGUACCAUGAAUAGUGUUACAAGAAGUCCUUUGGUCUUGUACCAACUAAGUAGGUUCAUGAAACACUCUAUUGUAUAUGAAGUGGGAUUUAGUCCUCACUACCACAUAUGCAAGUCUACGAUUAUGAGGCUUACGCUCGUCGUGAAGCGCUCGACAAUCUAGAACUUUUAAUAGAGAUGUGUUAACUCGUUGGAGAACCUAUAAAGCAUUUUGGAUAAUUCUUUAAGAAUCCUUAUGAGAGAAAAGUGUAUGUUGCUUAAAGGGCAGUCUUCCAGGUGAAGGAGCUGAUUUCCAAAAGAGCUAGUGGAAGAUACAUUGAUCUUGAUAAGAUUCGAGAGUCAACCAACGAAGAGCCUAAAGUUGUACAUAGCAUUCAAUUUGGAAUUGAAAGAGCUAUUAAGGAAACUGACAUAUUUCCAUUUUUCCUUAUAGAUAUGAUAGAAGACGUCAUGAACCUAGUUAUAUAAGAGUUUAUAUUACUGAGGUAAAUAGUCACUGUUAUGGAGCAAUUAGAGUGUACCAGCUAUUGGAAGCUAUGGUAGGCCCUAAAGGCUACAACAUGGAAGGAAGACUUGGAAAGCGAGAUUCAAUCCAUGUAUGUUGUAAUUUGGUAGAUCAAGCACUUGACCUUAACCCUUUGGUGCAAGUGGAUCUUCAAGAAGAGACAAGUAUGGAUAGGAAAAAAUACAUAAUCAAACCAAGAAAGGUUGUGAAGGAUGUAUAAGAUUAAUAAGUUCAUUUAUGGACCAAAAUAAGCAUCUCGCGAGUGGGAUCAUUAUUUCAAUGAGAAAGUUCAAAGAGUUUGAAUUUCAAGAAAUAAAGAUAAGCCAUAUGUAUGUCAAAGCUAGUGGGAGUAAAUGGAAUCUUUGUUUCAAUGAGAAAGUUCAAGGAGUUUGAAAUUCGAGAAACAUAGAUAAGCCAUAUAUAUGUCAGUGCUAGUGGGAGCACUAUAGUCACCCUUGUAUUGUACAUAGACAAUGUACGAUUUAUAGGAAACUAUAUUCUAACUUAGUAGGUUUAAAAGCUUGGCUUGGUAUGAGAAUCGUUUCACUAUGAUAUAUAUGGGAGAUACAAAACACGUACAUAAUAAGGAUCUAUGGAGAUAGAUCAAAGUGAUUCAUUGGAUUAAGCCAAAGUACAUGGAAUGUUGAGGAAACUCGAUAUGCAGAACUCAAAAAAGGAGUGUAGGCUGGCAUAACAUUGAGCAAUGCUAAUGUUCUAGUUCUACUAUUGAGCUAAAGCAAAUUAUUCAUGUCCCACAUGCUUCUGUUAUGGGAUCGAUCAUAAAUGCCAUGACAUGUACUAGAUCUAAUGACUAGUAUGCCUUGAGCAUGACAGGUUUGAUUAGAUCAAUUUGGAAAAAAAUCAAUGAAUCAAAAUCAAGAACAUUCUUAAGAGUCCUUGGAGGACAGAAGAAAUGAUCUUGAUAGUAUGGAAGAGAUCAUUGUAAGAGUUACAUUGAUUCUAUGUUCCAUACUAAUAAAGGCAAUUCCGUUCGCAGUCGGAAUUCGUGCUUUUAUUGAAUGGUGAUAUAUAUUAUCUUGAAAGAGUACCAUGUAAUACACCAUAGUGGAUUUAACAUACUUGGAGUAUAUUGCAGUUGGUUAAAUUGAAAAGAAGACUAUGUGACUAAAAGAGAUUCAUUAGUGACAUCUUUGUUGAGAUUCAAUAAUUGAUGGUCCUUAUGAUGUUUCUUGUGACUUUGGGUGAACUUACCUCGAGUAUGGAUCCCAAGUCACACAAGCUCACAUGAAACAUACUCAGUAAGUACCAACACGUUUGAUAGCGAGUCAAAUGUAAAGACAUCAUAGUCAAUAUGCCAUAUCGAAAGAUAAUCUUGUCGAUCCAUUCCAUAAGCUGAUAUCAUUGACCAAGUCUGACAGUCAGACAAAGUCAAGAGGCAUUAGAUUUGCAAAUGAAUUAGUAUAAGCACUCUUAGUAUGGUUUGUUUUAAAACCCGAGAACUUUAAGCGAUAUAAGAUUUAAUUUGAUUUGGUGAUUAUUAAGUGGUGAUCUCAAUAUAUGAUGGAUUUCGGUCAUUUCAAUUAGCUUAUCACUGUGUUCUCACUUUUCCAUGUUUGGAACCCACUUUCCGAGUAUUACUUUACUCAAACGUCCACAGUCGGUCAUACUCUUGGAAGUAAGUAGUGAUUCAAUACUAUCGUGAGUAUUAGUGGAUUGUCCAUAUUGGUUGGACAUAGCAUAGUGACUGCGCUAACACUCAUGAGUNUAAUAGAGAUUUAAGUAUUGGACCAACCCACGCUUAGAUAUUACUUCAUGGAUUCAGUCACGAGUAAUUCUAAGACGAUAAUAUCUUCUAUUCUUCAAACCUAGAUACAUGUGGGGUUUUGCUUUAUGAUUCUGUUAUGCAUUGGUCUAAUCCAACGCUAACCGUAACUGGUAGCUAUAAAGGGUAUGUCCAUGCGUGACAUGAUGAGAUAGACAAAAACUAUGUAGUCAAAUUUUAUUCGUUCCUUCUGCCUUAAUAGGAGAAUCGAUAUCUAUGGGCCCCUCGAUGAUUUGGUGCUGACAUCUAAAGUGCUUGGCCAAGCCCUGACUGGAAUUGAUGUGUUCAAUUUAGUAGUCAGAUGCAGUCAUCACAAAUCCAUAUCGGGAAACAUAAUCUUGAAUUCUUGAGAUUGACCAUUAUCCAUGUCUCGAAUUCAUACAGAUAUCAUAGAACGAAGGGAUAGUUGAUCACUUAUCUAAGGGCUGAAUCUUGAUUGGAUCAAGAGUUCGGUAGUUGCAUUGGAUGGCUAACUCUCUGUUGAUUAUUGGAGAAAUAUUAGUCCUCAUAUAGUUGAUGACUUGUCCAAGUGGGAGACUGUUAGAAUAGUGUCCAAGGUCAUUAACUAUUGGUCAUAUUUCUAAUAAUAGUAGGGUCCUUUUGGGUUGCCCUCAAGACCCAAAUUGAGUAGAAUAAAUAAAGGAGAAAUUGGUUUAUUAAUUAUUAUGGUUAAUAAUUAAUUAGAAACUAAUUGGAAAUAUAUUUUGGAAAUAUAUUAUGGGAAUUAAUUAACAGUUUAAUUAAUUAAAAGGUUGAAUGUUCAUUAAUCGAUAGUUGGUUAAUCAGGAAUGUUCCAGAACCCUUAUGGAAUUAGGAUUGGAUGAAAAUCACUCCAUCCCACAUGGGAAAGGAGUGAAAUUUCGUGGUUAGGCCUCCAUCCCACAUGGGAAGGAAUACUAAACCUAAGGAGGCAUCCAAGGCUAUAAAUAGGGCCUUAAGGAUUCCAUUCCUCCUUGCACCUUGGCUUGAGUAUUCGCCAAACCUUCUUCUUCCCCCUCUUAAGGACGAUUUCUAACCCCUUUGGGUUUGUGAAAUUGACCCUUCUGCUAGUUAUUUUUAUUCCACUCUUUGGUGUCAUUGGGUGUGAUACCAUUAGAGGGAUUCUGGUGUGGGUCCUUUCAUCCAAGCAACUUCAUGGAGGUUCAAGAUCUCAAGCAUGGAGAUCAAGGGCAUC